CGGGCGGGGCUGCGCGCGGUGCGUGCGGUGGGCGGGGCCUCUCGGAGCUCCGCCCCCGGCCCGGGGCCGCAGCCUCCUCCCUGGAGCGGUGGUUUUCGGGGCCGCCGAGGAACCUGUCCCUGAGGCCGCGCUCAAGACGGCGCGACCUGUUUUUUGGCCCAGCGGGAAGUGCUGGCGCAGGUGGUCUCGAAUGCGUGUUCCUCUUUGCCUCUGAUGUCUGGAAGGGGAAUUCAGCAGCAAGGACUCCUGUCUGGAGCUCUGACCCCAACUUCCUCAAUCCAGGCUCUAGAGAGGCGCCCCUGGCUGAGCCCCGGGGUCCCGCGGGCCGCGCACUCUCUCCCCCUUUCCCUGCUCUGCACCCCAGCCCGCGCUCCGGCCAGGGCGGACGUCCCUCCGUGCCCGCGCCGGCGCUGGCGCUUGUCCCUGUCCCGACCUGGGCUGGCCAUCACCCUGCAUUGGGUCGGAUAGUCGCAAGUCUCUCCCCUCUGAGACCGCUUCUGUUUUAAGACUGCGCAUCGCGAGGCGUUCAGUAACUGUUAUGGAAUGAAUAACAUGAGCCCAUCUGACUAUGGGAACAGCCUCCUGAGACCUGUGGGAAUGUGGUGACAUCAGCCGUUACCCCACUGGCUGGUCAACUUUAUCUCAUGGGAUCCUCUGACAACCCUCGAGGAAAGAGAUGCUCCCUUACAGAGGAGGAGGCUGGGACUUCCGGCUCAAGUUACUGAUUCCCGAGGUCACCUGGCCUAGGACCUGGAGCAGGGAGGAAGAUGGCAGGACAGAGGCUGAUGGUGACCCCUCCAUGCCAGGCGCUCUCGGGUGGUCUCGUGUGACCUGCUGGCUGGGUGUCCUAUUCUACACACAGGGAAAUGGAAGUCCUCCCACAAAACAACACCCGGGUGCCAGCUUCACACAGAUGCACCGCUGGUGAGGGCAGCCCCCGCAGAUGCAGCCGAGAAUUCUCUGUGCGGCGUUGACAGCAGCGAGAAGCUAAGCUGCCUGUGACACUGGGACGCCUCCAGAGAGCCAUGGCCACCCCAGAGGAAGUUACUUGCUGCCAUGUGCAGGGGAAGUCCUGUGUUUGGUCUACACACUCCCUGUCAGAGUUGACGAACUUGGGGCAACUUGGUGAAAACCCUGGGUGAGAAUCUGGUUUGAUGCAUUCUCCUUGGAACCCUUGGAUGUCCCUGGUAUGUGCUGUGUGCACGUG